UAGCACAGACUCUUUAGUGCAGUCCUGAUUUCUGUAUUAAUGAAUUGAGAAGAUGACAUCAGGCUCUUAGAUCAGCUUGGAAAAACAAAUGUCUUGAGUUGGAGCCCACACAAUUGUCUUCCUUGUUUGUGUUCAAAGACGUGUACCUGGUGGUCCAGAUGAGUAUCGUACUACCCGCCCCACAUAGCCUGAAAUUCUACUGGUGGAUGUAUGACACGUAGAGUUGUCCACAGAGGUAUUCCUGUUGAGGAAGAAGAUGGAGGGGGGCUGGAGCCUGGGAAGGCAAACUAUGACAACAAGAGCCACCAAGCGAAGGAAAGAGAAACAGUGACGGAGGCUAAGCAUGAAUUUCCAACAUAACCAUCAGUCUGACUUCGGCUUGACUGGGCUGUCAUGAUCAAAUGACUUCACUUGCCUGGUAUGUGCUCCUCUGCUUUUUUACAUCCUUGAUAUCCCAGUUUAUACACGUGCACAUGCUGACUUCCUCCAGGACACCACAACCCUUCCUGAUAAUUGCACUGCUAAAACUACCCGCUGUGUUAAAGGUCAGCAGAAGGGCCUUAGCGGUGAAGUGGCACUUGCCUAUCAAAAUGCAAAAUACUGGGGUGAAAGAAGUAAAACUCAACUAUUAUAUGUUACAAAAUUCGAGACAUUCAAAGUCGAGUAUAUCUUUCUCAUGUUCCAAUACCCAGAAAAGAAUGUCACAGCAUGACUCCAUCCUCGUGACGGAGACUGAAAGAAGAAUGAAAAAUAAUGCAAAGUUAUCUCCUUCUUGUUAAAAUCUAUUGUAAUCUUGUGUUCUUCCUCUGUUAUUGCACUGAAAUAAAGACAUUUUAAUCCCAGGGUACAACUGAGAGAAGCCCUGAUCUAAAAAUUGCCAAACCUCCUGAUCCAGUAUUUUAGAACUCAGAGUGCUUGUCACUUAUGAAUAUUCAUACAGACCACUAAAAGAAUUAUAUUCUGUCUGCAGUUACAGGCAGGAAACGAACACAGUAAAUUCUAAAGAGACAGCAGUAUUUUAUGGAACACUUGUGAAAUAUUAAGGACAUCCACAACAAAAUUCUUGUAGGAAAGUGGUGCAGGAGAGUUAUAUGGAACAGAGAUAACACUGUCAUGGAACACAUCUUUUAGAAGUAAACAAAAUACAGGGAUUCACCUCAAGUCUUAGAAAAGUUGGAAUUUUUCAAGGUAACCUGAUAAUGUCUACAUUUCCCUUACAUGCAGGAGUAUGCAUGCUGGUCAGGUAAGAGGCACUGAAUGCAAAAGGCUUAUAUAAACUUUGUAAAAGAAACUAGGAAGCCUGACUAAACAUAAGUUUUAUCUUAAAGGAAGACAAGUUUUUAUAUAAAGAAGGAAUUUACCUCCUGAAAGCCUGCCCUAAGGUUUACAGUUAAGGACAGUUAAAAAUGGGAAAUAUUUCAAACUUGUAUGUAUUCCUUCCUUUAUGAUUAAGUAAACUGCAGAAUUCCUUGAUGGUAAAAUAAUAAAUGUUUAAGAAGAUUAUUUUCUGACAAGUCAGCACUUAUAUAUGAAAAGGCUUAAUCUCACCCUAGCAAGAAAUGGACUUGUUCCAGUGGCAGAUGUACUAACCCAAGCACAUAUUAAGUUGGUUGGGAGACUUGUGUUCACAGUGUUCCCUCAAGAAAUGAAAGUAGCCUUUUAUGAGCUCUUCCAUUAAUAAACAUCUUAAAAAUAGAGACCAGUUAGUGUUGAGACCUCUAAAACCAGAGGCUGACAGUAGCUCAGCUGACCUACUGGCAUGAUGCUGCCAAAAGGAAGAGAGCAUUCCCUCUUCUUCUUCCUCACCUCUCCUCCUAUGUUUCCUUCUUUCCACCCUGCUCCUGGCAAGGCAGUUGUCCCUCCCUUGCAGCAGCUCUCGUGCUGCUUUGGGCUUUUUUUUUUCCUGUUCAUUAACACGGCGGAAAAACAUUCAGCUGAUCUAAUAGCUUUGCUUCUGCCAUUUUAAGGAAUUAAAGUUGCCUACAGUGAAGUCUGGCAGGCUCCUGAGACAGUAGAAUUUUGUAAAGACCAGG